rnacentral:rRNA from 1 species
CUGAGACACGGCCCAGACUCCUACGGGAGGCAGCAGUGGGGAAUUUUGGACAAUGGGCGCAAGCCUGAUCCAGCUAUUCCGCGUGUGGGAUGAAGGCCCUCGGGUUGUAAACCACUUUGUAGAGAACGAAAAGACACCUUUUAAUAAAGGGUGUUGCUGACGGUACUCUAAGAAUAAGCACCGGCUAACUACGUGCCAGCAGCCG